GGCUGGGUGGCGGAAUUGGCAGACGCUGGGGACUUAAAAUCCCUUGCUCGAAAGAGCGUGAGGGUUCGAGUCCCUCCCCGGGCACCA
rnacentral:tRNA from 1 species